UACGGGGGGGGCAAGCGUUGUUCGGAAUUACUGGGCGUAAAGGGCGCGUAGGCGGUCUUGUAAGUCUUGUGUGAAAUCCCUCGGCUCAACUGAGGAACUGCACGGGAUACUGCGAGACUUGAGUUCGGGAGAGGGAAGCGGAAUUCCGGGUGUAGCGGUGAAAUGCGCAGAUAUCGGGAGGAACACCUAUGGCGAAGGCAGCUCGCUGGGACGUUACUGACGCUGAGACGCGAAAGCGUGGGGAGCAAACAGG
rnacentral:rRNA from 1 species